GAUGAACGCUGGCGGCGUGCCUAAUACAUGCAAGUCGAGCGAACAGACGAGGAGCUUGCUCCUCUGACGUUAGCGGCGGACGGGUGAGUAACACGUGGAUAACCUACCUAUAAGACUGGGAUAACUUCGGGAAACCGGAGCUAAUACCGGAUAACAUGUUGAACCGCAUGGCUCAACAGUGAAAGACGGUCUUGCUGUCACUUAUAGAUGGAUCCGCGCCGCAUUAGCUAGUUGGUAAGGUAACGGCUUACCAAGGCAACGAUGCGUAGCCGACCUGAGAGGGUGAUCGGCCACACUGGAACUGAGACACGGUCCAGACUCCUACGGGAGGCAGCAGUAGGGAAUCUUCCGCAAUGGGCGAAAGCCUGACGGAGCAACGCCGCGUGAGUGAAGAAGGUCUUCGGAUCGUAAAACUCUGUUAUUAGGGAAGAACAAAUGUGUAAGUAACUAUGCACGUCUUGACGGUACCUAAUCAGAAAGCCACGGCUAACUACGUG
rnacentral:rRNA from 1 species